AUUGAACGCUGGCGGCAAGCCUAACACAUGCAAGUCGAGCGGAUGAAGGGAGCUUGCUCCUGGAUUCAGCGGCGGACGGGUGAGUAAUGCCUAGGAAUCUGCCUGGUAGUGGGGGAUAACGUCCGGAAACGGGCGCUAAUACCGCAUACGUCCUGAGGGAGAAAGUGGGGGAUCUUCGGACCUCACGCUAUCAGAUGAGCCUAGGUUGGAUUAGCUAGUUGGUGGGGUAAAGGCCUACCAAGGCGACGAUCCGUAACUGGUCUGAGAGGAUGAUCAGUCACACUGGAACUGAGACACGGUCCAGACUCCUACGGGAGACAGCAGUGGGGAAUAUUGGACAAUGGGCGAAAGCCUGAUCCAGCCAUGCCGCGUGUGUGAAGAAGGUUUUCGGAUUGUAAAGCACUUUAAGUUGGGAGGAAGGGCAGUAAGUUAAUACCUUGCUGUUUUGACGUUACCAACAGAAUAAGCACCGGCUAACUUCGUG
rnacentral:rRNA from 1 species